ACCUCUUAGGCAUGCUCAGUGGAAUUACUUUUAGUCCAGGACUUGGUUUAAUCUUGUAGGACUGAGAAAUCGGCCCUCAGAGCAAAAGGGUUUAAGUCAAGUCAAGGUAUGGGGUGUUGCCUUUAGAGGAAGAUGUUCAAGGAAGAGAACAGAGAGGCAAGUGGAGCUUUGGAGGGGCGAGCAGCGUGAUUGGGUAAAAGGGUAGUUAGUCACACUGCAGUGGUUGAGAGAAGUUAGACAGGAAAGGAAGGAGGAAGGAACACUGAGGGAGAAUGUCAAUUGCUUUUCCUUGACUCAUCACGUCCUCUCUCCUCGCCUUCUCAAAACCCAUUAGGUCCCUCCCCUCUGACCUUCUCAUCCAAUGGGUUUUGAGAAGGAAGCGAGGAGAGAGGAUGCGAGGAGUCAAGAAAACGCAAUUGAGAUUCUUCCCGGAGACUAGUUUGAUUGCCAAUGUGUGAGGAAAGCAAGAAGACAAGAAGACAAGAAGACAACGGGAGGACUGAGGAAAGUACAGAGAUCAUGACAUUUAUUCAAGGCAUGCUACAAUUAAAGUUGCUUUAGGAAAAAAUUAAGAAGAGAUUCUGAUGCAAUAAUAAUAAUGAGAAUCAUUAUAAUAAUAACUAUAAUAAUCAUAGUAACCAAUCGAAAAACAUAAAAGAAAAUGUUUCUAUAUCAAAUACAGAAACUCCAUUCAACCAUGCAUGCACCACAACAUUUUAAAAUAUGUUUCUUUAAUAGUUUCAUUUUCUAUUUGCAUUUAAAUGACAUCAACUCAUAAGGAAUCCUGUUGUUUCUCACCCCACCUUCCAUCCCCACGACGUCACACACACUGUUUUACAAAUCAAACCUGGUAUGAUAUCAAAAUACACAAGUUGUUUUUUUUCAUGUUGUGUUCAUCAUCUUUAAAUAUAUAUUUUUUUAAAACAAACACAAAAAAAAACAAUUGAAGGUCCAAUGCAGCUGUUUUUUUUAUUUUUUUUUAUCUCAGUAUCAAACACUUUCUGGGUAAAAAUUAAGGACCUAACUGUGAUUCAAAUGAUCAAAAAGAAACUAAAAUAGCUUCUUAGCAAAGAGCAAUAUCUCAAGUAAGAACUUAGAUAGGACUGUCUGGGAGUGGUCUGAGUGGGGAGGGGAAAACUGAACAUUAGCUGUUAUUGGCAGAGAGGUUUGGAACUCUUUCUUAUUGGUCUAUUAACUCAUUUACCGCCUGGUGAUGUCACCAAAACAGGCUGGAAUUUUAGGCAGUCUUUUCAAACACCCCUUACACCAAAAAGGGCGUUAUUAUCAUUUUCACAAUUUCACAGUAUUAUUCCAACCUCAUAGUGUGGAAAUAUAAAACACAGGUAAAUCACGUUUUUUUGAGUGCACUGGGCCUUUAAUUUCUCUCGAUAUUGUUAUUGUUUGUAGCUUUCUUGUUCCCAUUAACCAUUUUGGCCAAGUUUGAAAAGGGAACAUGUUUGAUUACAGACUUUCUUGUUGUCUAUUUUGGUCGUGAAACAUUGAAUAUUAACUAUAAAUAAGGUAUAUUAUCAAGACGCGCCUUAACGAGACAAGAAAAACAAAUUCAAUCAGAUGAGACACUUUUCCAGUGUCCCAAAUGACACCUUAUCCUCUAUAUAGUGCACUACUUAUGUUCAGGGCCCAUAGGGCUCAGGUCAAAAAGUAGUGCACUACGUAGAGAUAAGGGUGCCGUUUUGGACGCACCCUUCUGACUGAGCUCUGUGCAACUACAUGGCUCUUUAAAAUAUAUAAUCUCUCCCUUUAAUAAUCAUGGAACUGGAAAUCUAUUUAAAUUCGUCAAUCAUUUGUCUCCCAUAUAAUUCAGUGAUAUUGAAAGGAAAAGUCACUAUUAAAGGGGGGGGGGGGGUUGCCCCGGCCAGGAAUCGAACCCUGGUCCAGUAGCCCCAGCCAGGAAUCGAAUCUAACCCUGGUCCAGUAGCCCAGGCCAGGAAUCGAACCCUGGUCCAGUAGCCCCGGCCAGGAAUCGAACCCUGGUCCAGUAGCCCCGGCCAGGAAUCGAACCCUGGUCCAGUAGCCCCGGCCAGGAAUCGAACCCUGGUCCAGUAGCCCCGGCCAGGAAUCGAACCCUGGUCCAGUGAGAGUCGCUACACUAUGAUUGGUUGUUGUAAUAGAGGAUUCAGUUCCUUUGGUUUCAGUUCAUGUGUUGUCUUCUUGUACAACUCAAAGUAAAGCUAAAGGUACAUUUGUUUAGUUUUUUUUUUGCGUUUUAUUACGUGAGUCUGUGGGAAUCAAUGGGCUAGCCUGGAAUCCAACCUGAUUUCAUUAUGUUUCAUUACGUUUCACUGUUUCAGUCUGGCUUAACCAGGCUAGGAAUGGGCUCCCUUAAUAAUAUGGAUUCCUGUCAAAAUGUUGUAAAUUAUAUUUUGACUGAAAUGUAUAUCAAUAACUUUACCCGUUUUGAGAGAGCCAAUGACCUCGUCUUCAGCAAUGACGGUCUUUAAUCUAAACAAUAGUGAUGAAUAACAGAUCAAUGAAAGGCACAUCAACUUUGGUCCUGUUUGUUUCUGUUGUUUGUGACUCUUCAGUAUAAAAACGUUUUGAUAAUGUAAAAGUAAAAUGUUAGUCACAAUUGAAAAGAAAAGUCUGUCAUCAUGGCUGAACUAUGCUGCCUGAGUUUAAGGCAUGACUGUGGACGCUUCCCAAAUGGAACCCUAUUCCCUAUACAGGGACCAUAGGGCUCUGGUCAAAAGUAGUGCACUAUAUAGGGAAUAGGGUUCCAUUUGGGAGACCUAGAACAUUCAGACAUUCUAGAACAUUCAGACAUUCUAGAAUUAUCAGCUUUCAUGAUGAUACAGAAGAUUUACAGUCAGCCCGGGCUUCUUUCCUGUUCACAAAUGAAAAUGUUUCUUUUUUUAAACAUCAUAGCUUUUAGACAUGAGAGAGUCAAUCCACAGAAGGAGGAGUAUGAUGAAGACGACGACCAAGGCAGCUCAGCGGAGACUAGCUCUGGUCCCGGGUGUUACAUGCAGCGCAGUAUCAAUAACCAGUAUGGUAGUUUAUAUGAGGUUCACGGUCUGAACCAGCCCCUCAGACACAACAGUAUUAUUGUGCCCUAUUCCCUAUACCGGGCACUACUUUUGAUGCACCCUAAAAACUUUGGGUCGAGGUCAAUGCCAAGGGGGGACUCUUGUGGUUCUGUACAAAAGUAGUGCAUUAUAUAGGGAAUAAGGUGUUAUUUCAGACACACAUUCUCAGGGCUUUCUGAAGACUCAAACACCUGUUGUUAUGAAAAGCAGAGUGACAGACAACCAGUUCACCUUUUAAAGAGAGAGAGAGAGAGAGAAAGAAAAAAAAUGCACUACAGAUAUCAGUACGGAUCAAAAACCAGGCAACCAAAAUACCGUAAAAUGAAUAAUAUGAGAAACAAGUAUAAUAAUAUUACAACUUAAAAACACACAGAUGGGAGGUUCUCUUACAGCUUCACUGAAAAAGAGCAAAAUGAAGGAAAACCUGAAGUGACCUUAGUGAGUGUUGUGGGCCUUGACAUCAGAGGAAUAACAUUUAUACACAGGGUUGGGUAGGUUACUUUAGAAAUGUAAUCUAUUACAGUUACUAGUUACCUGCCCAAAAAUUGUAAUUAGAAAAGUUACUUUUUGGAUUACCCAAAACUCAGUAAAGUAAUCAGAUUACUUUCUGUUACAUUUGGAUUAGAAGAAGACAGAAAGGAACUAUUAAACUCAUUUGGUGAUCUCUGAUUGGUGGUCAUCAUUUGGUUGUGCUUAUCAUAGUGAUCUCUGAUUGGUGGUCAUUAUUUGGUGUGUCAUCAUAGUGAUCUCUGAUUGGUGGUCAUUAUUUGGUGUGUCAUCAUAGUGAUCUCUGAUUGGUGGUCAUUAUUUGGUGUGUCAUCAUAGUGAUCUCUGAUUGGUGGUCAUUAUUUGGUGUGUCAUCAUAGUGGUCUCUGACUUGUGGUCAGACUCGGGGAUCGUGAUCGAACAAAUCCCCGAGCUGACAAGGUAAUAAUCUGUCGUUCUGUCCCUGAACAAGGCAGUUAACCCACUGUUCCCCGGUAGGCUGUCAUUGUAAAUAAGAAUUUGUUCUUAACUGACUUGCCUUGUUAAAUAAAUAAAAAUAUAUUCAAGGCAUUCCUAGUCGAUCACCAAACAUUUCUGUAAAAACACAACGAUUAAGCCUUGUGUUCCUAUUCAUGUGUCUGAAGGUACAAACUCUUCCUUCCUGGUGGACCCAGAGAGCAAAUCAAGUGGACUAUAGGUCUACCGCUGGCCAAUCAGAUGGCUCAGAUGACCGUGUCUUCAGUAAUGUAGCAGCAUAAGAGAAAGCUACAGUGGAUACUGUGAGAUGUAAAACGUUUUAAAACCACGACUAGAGAGACUGUCAACGAAUACAGCAAAGAGAUGCUGUCAACUGUCAACACUUUGUAGUGAACACUUUGUAGUCAACAUUUUGUAGUGAACACUUUGUAGUCAACAUUUUGUAGUCAACACUUUGUAGUCAACACUUUGUAGUCAACACUUUGUAGUGAACAUUUUGUAGUCAACACUCUGAUAAACCGUCAGAUGUGAGUUCUACAUGGAACACCACACAUUGGUUGCUGCUGUAGGCUGAACAGCUGUUUCCAUGUUAAGAUAUUAUGGUGAUUGUUUUUGAUGGUAGGCUACUCUGGUAGGUCCUACAUUAUGAUCUAAGAGCAACAGUAGCCUACUUGGCCGUUGUUAAAACUCUAACUCAAAGCGGUUAUAUUUCCAGUGAUCACAUUAUCGCUUGGUCAUAAUGCUUAUUUAGUUUUUUCCGCAAACAUUCUUUCUGAAUGUAAAAGUAAUCCAAGAAGUAAUCCUCUGUAAUCUGAUUACAAUAUGUUUUUGCUGGCAAAGUAACCGAUUUAAAAAAUAAAUAAAAAUGACCUCUUUUUUUUGGGGGGACCUCAUCAGAUUUGCUAAGCAGGAGACUAAAAUGUUUGUUUUUUUAAACCUGAGCUACAUUCUGCAUCAAAAGGGAUUAGUUCUGAAAAUGGUGGUGUAGAACGGUCUAGAAGGUGGGAUGUAAAGCCAGUAACAACAGAUCAUCAUUCCUGUUAAGUCCCAAAUAAGUGAAGAAGAAUGAAUAAGGCUUCAAACUAUACACACACACACACACACACACACACACACACACACACACACACACACACACACACACACACACACACA
rnacentral:lncRNA from 1 species